AUAUUGCACAAUGGGGGCAACCCUGAUGCAGCGACGCCGCGUGCGCGAAGUAGGCCUCCGGGUCGUAAAGCCCUGUCCUAAGGGAACAAACGGACCGUACCUUAGGCGGAAGCCCCGGCUAACUACGUGCCAGCAGCCGCGGUAAUACGUAGGGGGCGAGCGUUAUCCGGAAUUACUGGGCGUAAAGGGUGCGUAGGCGGCCUUUUAAGACAGAUGUGAAAAGCUAAGGCUUAACCGUAGUUAGCAUUUGAAACUAAAAGGCUUGAGUGCAGGAGAGGAGAGUGGAAUUCCUAGUGUAGCGGUGAAAUGCGUAGAUAUUAGGAGGAACACCAGUGGCGAAGGCGACUCUCUGGACUGCAACUGACGCUGAGGCACGAAAGCGUGGGGAGCAAACAGG
rnacentral:rRNA from 1 species